UAAUUUAUUUAAAUAAAUUUAAAAUAUAAAACAUAAAAUCAAGAAAAUAAACAAAAUAAUUAAAAGGAUUUGAGGGGGUAUUUUUGUCUUUACCUAGAUUAGUCCCAUGGUAUUAGAACUAAUACCACCAAAUGGAAGGUAUUAGUUAUACAACCUAUAAUACCAUGUAGGGUGUAUAACUAAUCCGUGGAUUGAUUAUACAUAGACCCAAAAUUCCUACCAAACAUAGUACUAAAUAAUACCACACAUAAUACUUGAACUAUUUCUCCUAAUACUCCCUACCAAACGACCUCUUAAAGUCAAUUCUCUGACUAAUUUUGGCCACCUUAGAGAAACCCAGAGCUUGAAAAUGACCUCAACAGCAAGAACAUUGUUAGAGUUCAACAUCAAAAUCCAUAGAUGUCACGUCAAGCGCCUACUUACAGGUUUUGUUUACCAACAUAUUUCUGUAUAUCUAACACUGUUAUGGUAUGGUUGAUCUCAACUGAUACUACCUCCAUACUCGACAGACAAACUAGGUUAUUGCUGAUCAAAAUACAACAAAAAGGUUAUAUACAAUGGAGAGCUGCAAGUCCAAAGUAUUGCCGAAUCUGCUGCUGCUGCUUAUCGUCUAAAUCUACAUUACCUAACUAAGUAUACAUGCCAUUCCCUAUGAACGAAUGUCUCGUUUCUACUAGACUACUAUUAUUAUGCACCAUCUUGAACCUCCUGUCGCAACAACUGAGGCCUCUUUUCAAGGAUUUGGGAUGGCCAUACAUCAUUUGGAGUGGGG